rnacentral:lncRNA from 1 species
GGUGGGAAGAUGCUAAGCAAAUGUACUAAAAUUGAUUAACAAUAAGAGUUUAUAUAUACUUAUUAGACCUUAUAAAUAAUGAUUAAAUCAUGUUAAUAUGUACCAUAUAUGAGAGAUAAUAAUUUGAAUUCAUUUAUUAGUUAGACAAUAGAUGGAAAGUAAAUAUACAGAUGACAAAUUAAGGAGAGGAACAAAACCCUCCUUAUUGUUCAUUUGU